UGGGGAAUAUUGCGCAAUGGGGGAAACCCUGACGCAGCCAUGCCGCGUGAAUGAAGAAGGCCUUCGGGUUGUAAAGUUCUUUCGGUAUUGAGGAAGGUUGAUGUGUUAAUAGCACAUCAAAUUGACGUUAAAUACAGAAGAAGCACCGGCUAACUCCGUGCCAGCAGCCGCGGUAAUACGGAGGGUGCGAGCGUUAAUCGGAAUAACUGGGCGUAAAGGGCACGCAGGCGGUUAUUUAAGUGAGGUGUGAAAGCCCUGGGCUUAACCUAGGAAUUGCAUUUCAGACUGGGUAACUAGAGUACUUUAGGGAGGGGUAGAAUUCCACGUGUAGCGGUGAAAUGCGUAGAGAUGUGGAGGAAUACCGAAGGCGAAGGCAGCCCCUUGGGAAUGUACUGACGCUCAUGUGCGAAAGCGUGGGGAGCAAACAGGAUUAGAUACCCUGGUAGUCCACGCUGUAAACGCUGUCGAUUUGGGGAUUGGGCUUAGAGCUUGGUGCCCGUAGCUAACGUGAUAAAUCGACCGCCUGGGGAGUACGGCCGCAAGGUUA
rnacentral:rRNA from 1 species